ACUCCCAUGACCGGAAGGAUUUCCUUCCGGUCUAUGAGGUAUAACAUCCUCAUUGAUUGGAAGGAAUUCCUUCCGAUUGAUGAGGUUGUUAUACCUCAUUGACCAGAAGGAAUCCUUUCUGGUCGAUGAGGGU
rnacentral:miRNA from 1 species